rnacentral:rRNA from 1 species
GACAGCCAGGAUGUUGGCUUAGAAGCAGCCAUCAUUUAAAGAAAGCGUAAUAGCUCACUGGUCGAGUCGGCCUGCGCGGAAGAUGUAACGGGGCUAAACCAUGCACCGAAGCUGCGGCAGCGACACUCAGGUGUUGUUGGGUAGGGGAGCGUUCUGUAAGCCUGUGAAGGUGGCCUGUGAGGGUUGCUGGAGGUAUCAGAAGUGCGAAUGCUGACAUAAGUAACGAUAAAGCGGGUGAAAAGCCCGCUCGCCGGAAGACCAAGGGUUCCUGUCCAACGUUAAUCGGGGCAGG